rnacentral:rRNA from 1 species
AACCCGCCUGCAUGAAGUUGGAAUUGCUAGUAAUCGCGGAUCAGCAUGCCGCGGUGAAUACGUUCCCGGGGAUUGUACACACCGCCCGUCACACCAUGAGAGUCGGGAACACCCAAAGUCCGUAGUCUAACCGCAAGGAGGGCGCGGCCUAAGGUGGGUUCGAUAAUUGGGGUGAAGUCGUAACAAGGUACC